rnacentral:rRNA from 1 species
GAUUCUGGCUCAGGAUGAACGCUAGCUACAGGCUUAACACAUGCAAGUCGAGGGGCAGCAUGGUCUUAGCUUGCUAAGACUGAUGGCGACCGGCGCACGGGUGAGUAACGCGUAUCCAACCUUCCCCCUGGUAGGGCAUAGCCCGGCGAAAGUCGGAUUAAUACCCUAUGCUAUCCGAAGAGGACAUCUGAUUUGGAUCAAAGAUUUAUCGCCAUGGGAUGGGGAUGCGUCCGAUUAGGUUGACGGCGGGGUGACGGCCCACCGUGCCCGCGAUCGGUAGGGGUUCUGAGAGGAAGGUCCCCCACAUUGGAACUGAGACACGGUCCGAACUCCUACGGGAGGCAGCAGUGAGGAAUAUUGGUCAAUGGGCGUAAGCCUGAACCAGCCAAAGUAGCGUGCGGGACGACGGCCCUAUGGGUUGUAAACCGCUUUUGCAGGGGAAUAAAGUGUGGGACGUGUCCCAUUUUGCAUGUACCCUGAGAAUAAGGACCGGCUAAUUCCGUGCCAGCCGCCGC